rnacentral:rRNA from 1 species
UUUUCCCCUCAAAUCAGGUAGGACUACCCGCUGAACUU